UAGGGAAUCUUCGGCAAUGGGGGCAACCCUGACCGAGCAACGCCGCGUGAGUGAAGAAGGUUUUCGGAUCGUAAAGCUCUGUUGUAAGAGAAGAACGUGUGUGAGAGUGGAAAGUUCACACAGUGACGGUAACUUACCAGAAAGGGACGGCUAACUACGUGCCAGCAGCCGCGGUAAUACGUAGGUCCCGAGCGUUGUCCGGAUUUAUUGGGCGUAAAGCGAGCGCAGGCGGUUUAAUAAGUCUGAAGUUAAAGGCAGUGGCUUAACCAUUGUUCGAUUUGGAAACUGUUAAACUUGAGUGCAGAAGGGGAGAGUGGAAUUCCAUGUGUAGCGGUGAAAUGCGUAGAUAUAUGGAGGAACACCGGUGGCGAAAGCGGCUCUCUGGUCUGUAACUGACGCUGAGGCUCGAAAGCGUGGGGAGCAAACAGG
rnacentral:rRNA from 1 species